rnacentral:ncRNA from 1 species
UACCUUAUUCAUUCUGUCAGCGCUAAAUGUUCAGCUAAAAGACUGAGCUAUGCAUAUCGAGUGCAACUUUGGAAUCAAACUGCGAACGAGUCAUAAUAGCUGAUGAAAUUUCUUAGGAAUUGUCUGGAUGGAUUACUGCGGCAAUUUUAGAACUAAUACAUGCGACAAAACCUAACUUUUGCAACGGUGCACAUAUUAGAGCUAAUUAGUCAUCUUCAGAUGGUAUAGUUUGCAGACUCUGAAUAACGCAGCAUAUUCCGAGAAUUGUCUGCCCUAUUAACCUGAUAGUAGUUCAUUGGUCUACCAUGGUUACUACGGAUAACGGAGAAUGAGGUUAGACUCCGGAGAGGGAGCCCUUAGAAACGACUACUACAUCCAAAGAAGGCAGCGGACGCAAAAACUAUUCAAUCUUGAGAUCAUGCAGUGACUAGAACUAAAAGUAUAUCCCUACGAAAGGUCAUCUCAAUAAGUCAAUCAUAAACCUUAUUUCGAGUAUGGAAUGGUGGCAAGUCUGCUGCCAGUAGCCUCGAUAAUUCUAGCUCCACUAGUGCAAAUCGUUACUGCUGCGGUUAAAAAGCUCGUAGUUGGAUCUGAGUUACACGUAAUGUUUCGCCUUUGGUGUUAUCGUGUGUGUAUGCCUCAACCUUUCUAGUGAGUAGUGAGUUUACCUUCAAUAAAUUAAAAUGCUGAAAACAAGUGCUUGCUUGAAUAGCUGAUCACAAAAAAUAGAAGAUGACUUCGGUUUUACUCAUCAAUUCAAAAACUAGAAUAAUGGUUGAAAGGGACGACUCGGGGCAUUCGUAUCCCUGCGCGAGUGAUGAAAUUCGUGAACGUAAACUUUGCCAUUUAGCAAUUCGAUGUGGUACUAAUAAUAGGACGUUGUCAAGCAGCUUCUAAGACACGAAAGACUUUCGGUUCUUGGGUAGUAGGAUUGCAAAACUGAAACUUAGGGAAAUUGACGGAAUGGCAAUACCAGGAAUGGAGCCUGCAGCUUAAUUUGACUCAACACGGGCAAACUCAUCUGGCGCCGACGGCAAAGGAUUGAGAGAUUAACGUUGGGGAACUAAACCCACACUUGGACACUGAAAUUGGGCAACUUAACAGACUUCAUGUUUUAAUACUAUAGUGUUCCUCGUACUGAACGGUUUUAGUUAUCAAUCCUAUGCAUAAGCUUCAGGAUUGUCCACCUUCCGUCCUAAACAUUGCGCUAAUGAAAGUGAUCAACUUCGACCGUUAAAAUGGAUCAACUAGACCGUCUUAAUGGCGUUUACACUACAGUGUUCCUCUUACUAGCCGAUUUUUUUCCGCAUUUCCCUUGAAAUUGGGCAACUAACCUUUACCUACACCUUUGAAAUUGGGCAAACAAACGACUUCG